UACGGAGGGAGCUAGCGUUGCUCGGAAUGACUGGGCGUAAAGGGCGCGUAGGCGGCGCAGUUAGUCAGGCGUGAAAUUCCUGGGCUCAACCUGGGGACUGCGCUUGAUACGGCUGUGCUUGAGGAUGGAAGAGGCUCGCGGAAUUCCCAGUGUAGAGGUGAAAUUCGUAGAUAUUGGGAAGAACACCGGUGGCGAAGGCGGCGAGCUGGUCCAUUACUGACGCUGAGGCGCGACAGCGUGGGGGAGCAAACAGG
rnacentral:rRNA from 1 species